GGUGAGAUGGCCGAGUGGUUAAAGGCAGCAGACUGUAAAUCUGCCCGCGUUAGCGUACGUAGGUUCGAAUCCUACUCUCACCACCA
rnacentral:tRNA from 1 species